rnacentral:rRNA from 1 species
AUGGCAGCAGCAGCAGCAAGCAGAGAGGAGCGGUGGAGCCUCGCCGGCAAGACGGCCCUCGUCACCGGCGGAACCAAAGGAAUCGGGCGCGCGAUCGUGGAGGAGCUCGCGGGGUUCGGCGUCCGGGUGCACACAUGCGCCCGGAGCGACGCCGACGUGCAGGAGCGGCUGCGCGGGUGGGCCGCCGACGCCGACGCGGGCCGCCUGAGCGGGCGCGUCACGGCCUCCGCCUGCGACGUGUCCGUGCGCGGCGACCGGGAGGCGCUCAUGGCCACGGCCCGCGCCGAGCUGGGGGGCAAGCUGGACAUCCUCGUCAACAACGCCGGGCAGACCUUCUUCAUGCCGGCCACGGAGAGCACGGCGGACGACUACGCCCGCCUCAUGGCCACCAACCUCGAGUCGUGCUUCCACCUUGCGCAGCUCGCGCACCCGCUCCUCGUCGCCGCGGGGGGCGGCAGCGUGGUGAACAUCUCCUCCGUCGCCGCGGCCAUCGCGUACCCGGUGCUUUCGGUGUACUCGGCGACCAAGGUGGCCAUGAACCAGCUCAGCCGCAACCUCGCCGUGGAGUGGGCGAGCGACGGCAUCCGCGUGAACUGCGUCGCGCCGGGGGGCAUCCGGAGCGACAUCCUCCAGAGCAGCGGCAUCGAGGUUGACAUGGAGGCGUUGCUAGAGAUGGGGAAGAAGGAGAACGAGCGCGUCGCGCUGGGCCGCAUGGGCGAGCCGGAGGAGGUCGCGUCGCUCGUCACGUUCCUGUGCAUGCCGGCCGCGUCCUACAUCACCGGGCAGGUCAUCUACGUCGACGGCGGUCGCACCAUAGCGGCCUAG